CAUUUUAGUCAUCAGUGUCAGCCAGUGCUGGAAAAUCUCUUCCACCUUCCAGCUUCUCUCUGUAUGACGCUGUGAUUGCUUGUAUGUGGACAGAAGACUAGGGAGUUGGAGCCUGCUUUGUCGCCAGGUGGCAGCAUGGGAGCAGGAAAGGGUUCCUUUCCUCUCCUGGAAAACAUCAGAAGGGAAUCUGCUUUUCCUGGGUAGAGGAAAAAGAUGGUCAUGCACAGGGCUCCCUGGGUGACUACGUUCCUUUGAAAAUACCUGAAAAGUCAUCACAGCUCUACAGCUGCUGAGGAAAGUGCAAAACCUCAGGUGGGACUUCUCCUUCAACACACUGUUCUCAGAGAAGACGCCGUCGCUGCAGUCUCAGUGGAGUAUGCUGCACAGAGUGCAGACAGGAGGUCACCAGAUAAUGAAAAAAGCAUGAAAAAAUGAAGCAAAAAUGAAGCCAAAAGGACUCUGUUCUCUUACUGCCAAUUUGUGGAUGCAUGGAUGUGCCUUUUUUACAGUGGAACACCUCUGAGAAGGCUUCAAAGUUCUGCAGAGAUCCCAUCACCCUGAACAAAGAGAAGGAACUUAUUUACACAGAUGCAGUGCACGGAGCCCAUUGCUCUGGAAAACAGAAAGCUAUGUCCAUGAUGUGAUUUACAGUCAGAUAACCCAGUUACAGUCUCAGAGCAUGAGGCACCAGCUCUGCAAGAACAAUACAGCUCAUGCAGCUAAUUCAGUGCUACAACAAGUAUUUUGUAUAAGUAGGCAAACUCACCAGGCUAAGUAAAGGAAUGUACUCUUCAGUAGUGUCCUACUAUGGCAGGAUUUCUGAAAGUUAGCCUACAUUUAUCUUGUCUGUCAGCAGCCAGCUACUAGCAAUGAGCCACUCUCUCCUUUUGUGCUGUAUUGGUGCAAGGCGUUGAACCAAGCGAUGCUAUCAGUAAAUAAACCCACCUGUAUUUCAGAGGGCUGUGAACAUCUGUCUUUAUUGACUGGCUGGCAUAUUCUGGUCUGUAGGAACCACACCAAACCUAGACAAGGAAAAUUGAUAAUUAGUGGGUCGCUAUUAAAAGGGAAUUUGAUUCUGAUACCUUCUCCCUGUUUUUCAAAGCUUUUUCCUAAGAGCCAUCCCAUUUAUGGCAAUAUAGUUGGGAGUAUGUUUUAUAGAGGAAGCAGAAUAGCUACAACAGCUUUCCAAGCAGAACUCAAGACUGAUUUGCUCCCUAAACUCUAGACUAACACAAUUUAUACUUUCACAUAGCAUGUAGUGGGUAUCCAAGGGUUAUUACCUGGGCAAAGUUGAGGAAGAAAAGCUGUUUGUGGGACAGAUUCAGUCCAGGCAACUUCGGUUCCUUUCCUUCCCGUUCCAGCCAUUUUAAAUAAGCCUACAAAUUAUCACAGAUUCAGUUCAGAGAAGGGCCUAUUCAAACAUGACGAGUAUUUUGAACGUUACUUUAGGGCUAGAGAUUUCAGUCACAAUGUAUGUGAACCCAGCGUGUCUUCCGUUCUGUAUUUUCCUAGUUUUCAUCUUUCUGAUACAAAGAGA